GAUGAACGCUAGCGGCAGGCCUAAUACAUGCAAGACGAACGGUAACUUGAGUAGCAAUAUUUGAGCAAGAGUGUCGUAAGGGUGCGUAACACGUAUGCAAUCUGCCCUCAACUGGAGGAUAGCUCCCCGAAAGGGGAAUUAACACUCCAUAAGAUCACAUAAUGGCAUCAUUGAGUGAUUAAAAAUACGGUGGUUGAGGAUGAGCAUGCGCAUGAUUAGUUAGUUGGCGGGGUAACGGCCCACCAAGACGAUGAUCAUUAGGGGAACUGAGAGAUGGAUCCCCCACACUAGCACUGAGAUACGGGCCAGACUCCUGCGGGCGGCAGCAUUAGGGAAUAUUGGACAAUGGGUGCGAGCCUGAUCCAGCCAAGCCGCGUGCAGGAAGACGGCCUUCUGGGUUGUAAACUGCUUUUGCCAGGGGAUAAGAAGUCCCUGCGGGGAAAAUUGAAGGUACCUGGUGAAUAAGCCACGGCUAACUACGUGCCAGCAGCCGCGGUAAGAC
rnacentral:rRNA from 1 species